CUGUUUCUGGAUGAGGAAGCUGUGGCGGCGAGUGAAUAUUCGGGGCUGACGUCGUACCCUUCGUCAUAAAACCAAACACAACUUCUUGUUCUUCUUUUGUAUGUUACUUACUGUCUGAAACAUGAGAACGUUAUUUUACUCUGUUCAGUUUGUUGACAAUGUGUUUUGUCGGUUAAUUACUUUAUUUUAGCCAUUAAUAUCAUCAUCAUUAGUACAUGAUUGAGAAACAUAAGAACACUAGGUUAAUUAGAAUCAUCUUUUAAUCUUAAUCAUUAUUAAAUGAGAUUUUUUACUUAUAUGAUUUUGUAAUCAUUUAUAUCAUGUCAUAACAAAAAAUUUAAGCCAUGGAUCACAAAAUUUGAAUGUGAAACUUUAAACAGUUUUAGUAAUUUAUAAUCAUUUUGCAAAAUUCAAAAUAUAACAUAUACAGGAAAAACUACAAUUUAUUAUAUAAUUAAUAUUUUUGUUUAAUUUAUUUAGAUAGUUUAAAAUUAAACAAAUAUGAUAGAAGACAUACUAAUUUUUAUCAAAUCUUUAUUAUUCAAAAUCUUUAAUUUUCAUAAAUAUUUUAUCGACAUUAGGCAAUUCCAUAACUUUUAUUUGAGGAAGUAAUAAAGAACAUUAAUAAUGAAUUUAUGGUUAGUUUGAUAAAAAGCUUAUUAUAUAUUUAGAUGGAUCAACUUAUUUCUCUAAAAAUUCUAAGAAUCAUUCUAGUGAUGACAUGUAACUACAAAAAAAUGUUGCAAUGCUUCUCAAUUAAUAUAUAAGGGAUAAUGUUUUCUUUUGUUGGUUUAUUACCUUAUUUAGUCAUAUUAUUAUCAUUAGGUUAAGACCAUCGCCUUGCACGGAAUGAAAAUAAUACAUAAUUAUUUUAUGUAUUAUAUAUUUUUACAUAUUAUGAAAUAAUAAAUAUACAUAUUAAAUAAUUAAAAGUCAGUAACUAUUACAUAUAUAAUUAAACUGGUGCGAACAUAUAAAUCAAUUUUAUUAAUCCAAAUAAUUUUUUUUUUCUAUUUGAUAGGAUAUAUUAUUAAAUUUAAAUGAUAUUAGCAUACAUAGUAUAUUUUUAAUAUUAAUGUCUAUUAAAUGAUAUUUUCUACUCAUAUUGUUUUUUUGAUCAGUUGUAUUUUGUAUAGGAAAAACUUUAAAUUAUUGAUAACAAAAUUUUCAUUGUGGGAUUAAUAUGCUUUUAUAAUCAUUUAUUAUUUUCAUAAUAGAAAAUUUAAACCAUGGAUCACAAAAUUUGAAAGCGAGACUUUUGACUGUGGUUAGGAGUGAUGUGGUUAUAGGUGUCCAGCGGUUGAUGGCAUGAACGAAUUGUGGAUGCAUACAAAUUGCCUAGAUAAAAGACUGUGGUUUAACUUUGAUUGGGAUAUAUUGUAAAACUGAAAUGGUUGGGGCAAAUUGAUUGAACCGUGGUGCACAUUUUAAAAGUUGAGAUAAAUUUAUGAAUACCCAAAAUUUGGAGGACCGGAUAUGCAAAUAUGGAGAAACCACCAUUGUUAUGCUCGAUCCUUCUUCUCUUUUGAUCUGGUUGAUGACGACGGUUCCGGCGGCCACCACGACGGAAGAGCUGACCACGGAGAGGACGAGACCACUUGGACAGAGAUAACGUGGUUUUGGUGCCUUCAAAUCAAUAUCGAUUUUGUACCACUGCGAAGAAGCUUGAGCCGCGACGGUGAGGCCCAGGACGAACUCGACAGACGGUUGCAGGUAAUUGAAGACUCGAGCACGACGUCGAGGUUGGUCUGGUGCUGAGGAAGUUCGGUCAAGAUUCAGUCCAUGUGUCAAAGGCGUCGGUGUCUAGGGUUUGAAUCUGGUGAAAGGGCAGUGAGGAGGUGUUUCGAUGAGUUUAAAGUUUACUUUUUGGUGA
rnacentral:lncRNA from 1 species